rnacentral:rRNA from 1 species
GAAACCUACGGGAGGCAGCAGUGGGGAAUAUUGCGCAAUGGGCGAAAGCCUGACGCAGCGACGCCGCGUGAUGGAUGAAGGCCUUCGGAUCGUAAACCUCUGUCAGCAGGGAGGAACGGUCACUGUGCUAAUCAGCAGUGAAUUGACGGUACCUGCAAAGGAAGAACCGGCUAACUCCGUGCCAGCAGCCGCGGAAAUACGGAGGGUGCGAGGGUUAAUCGGAAUUACUGGGCGUAAAGCGCUCGUAGGCGGUAGAUCAAGUCAAGGGUGAAAUCCCCGCGCCAAACGAGGGAACUGCCUUUGAA